GCCUCCAUAGCUUAAUGGCAAAGCAGCAGACUUUUAAUCUGUUGAUCGGGGUUCGACUCCCUGUGGAGGCACAA
rnacentral:tRNA from 1 species